rnacentral:RNase_P_RNA from 1 species
CCAGUUGGCCGGGCAGCCGCGCCUUACCAAUGUCGAAAGACGGUAAAGUGAGGAAAGUCCGGGCUCCACGGAAACACGGUGCCGGAUAACGUCCGGCGGGGGCGACCCUAGGGAAAGUGCCACAGAGAGCAAACCGCCACGCCUACGUGGUAAGGGUGAAAGGGUGGGGUAAGAGCCCACCGCGCCGCUGGUAACAGCGGUGGCAAGGUAAACCCCACCGGGAGCAAGACCGAAUAGGGAUGAUGCGGGGCGGACGAAAGUCUGCCAACAGCCUGUUUCUGGGCCAGUCAUCCGGGUGGGUUGCGUGAGGCGGCAUGCAAAUGUCGUCCCAGAUGAAUGGCUGCCACGUUCCGGAUAAAACCGGAGCCAUACAGAACCCGGCUUACAGGCCAACUGGCAAA